GCACUUGUGGCUCAGUGGUAGAGCGUCGCACUCGUAAUGCGAAGGUCGUGGGUUCAAUCCCCAUCAGGUGCA